rnacentral:tRNA from 1 species
GAGGGGAUAGCUCAGUGGUAGAAUGCCUGCCUGGCAUGCACAAGGUCCUGGGUUCAAUCCCCAGUGCCUCCU